UACGUAGGGUGCGAGCGUUGUCCGGAAUUAUUGGGCGUAAAGAGCUCGUAGGCGGCCUGUCGCGUCGGAUGUGAAAGCCCGGGGCUUAACCCCGGGUCUGCAUUCGAUACGGGCAGGCUAGAGUGUGGUAGGGGAGAUCGGAAUUCCUGGUGUAGCGGUGAAAUGCGCAGAUAUCAGGAGGAACACCGGUGGCGAAGGCGGAUCUCUGGGCCAUUACUGACGCUGAGGAGCGAAAGCGUGGGGAGCAAACCGG
rnacentral:rRNA from 1 species